GUAAGGCGUAGGCGGCGUGAUUAAGUCAGCGGUGAAAGGUAGCAGCUUAACUGUUUUACAUGCCGUUGAUACUGGUUAGCUUGAGUUGACAGAAGGCAGAUAGAAUUCCUGGUGUAGCGGUGAAAUGCUUAGAUACCAGGAGGAAUACCGAUUGCGAAGGCAGUCUGCUGCAGUCACACUGACGCUGAGGCUCGAAGGUGCGGGGAUCAAACAGGAUUAGAUACCCUAGU
rnacentral:rRNA from 1 species